AUCGCCUGGCGUUUGGGUGGCCGCCAUGCUUCCGGGCCCGCCACUCCCGCCGCCACCCAAAGACACUGCGUUCCGGCAGGCUUGGGCUGGGAGACCCGGUGUUGGGUGGGGUCCCGGCAGGGACAAGCCGCUGCCGCCAUCAGUCACCGAGGUGGGGUGGGGAUGAGAGGUUCGCCGCGGCUUCAAGACCUGGGUCCGGCCAGUGGGCAGCCACAUCGGAGGCCUCAGGAUUAUCAAUCACAGUCAUAUCUAUAAUGAAACUGGAAGAAAAACUACACAGAAAAGAAUUCAAAGUGAUUUGGCACUGCCUUCUGCUUGGCCCAUCUGCUGUUAUUUUUUUUCUCCUACUGGCAGAACGUUAGACAAUAUUUCAACUUAGCAUCUCAUAGGCAGUUAAACAACGGACAAGAGUGGGCUGGAGAAGAGGAAAUGAUACCAUGUUCUUUUAAGAAAAAAGAGGAAAAAGCCCACAAGAUGAACACUAUGGUGUAUAACCCUGUCAUGUCUUUUUAGCAAUGAACUUUGGAGCCCUGGAAACAAGUAGCCCUAAGUUACAACACUCAAUUUUAAAGGUCCAGCCUCUCUUGGUAUGUCAUGAAGUCUGAUAACCUGUGGAAUCCUGUUGCCUCUUAACAGGAUGCUAAGAGUGGCACAUUCCAGUCAGAGUUGAACAACAGUUUGAACUGCAAAGGUCCACCUGAUUUUUUUCUGCCUCUGCUACCUCUGAAACAGCAAGAUCAGCCCUUGCUCUUCCUUCUGCUCCUACUCAACAUGAAGGCACAAAGACGAAGACUUUAUAAUGAUCCAUUUUUACUUAAUAAGCAGUGAGGCACUGAAGGCAGGCUCCCACUAGUCUUUAAUGGAAAUAUUACAAAGUAGAAGGUA
rnacentral:lncRNA from 1 species